AUGACGAAAAAAAAAAACAAUGAUAAAAGGUUAUUAAUAUUGAAAGAGCAAGAACAAAAGUUAAAAGAUACGAAAAAUAGUACUCUAGAAAAAACGGAUAUUAUUGUAGAAAAGGACGAAACAGAUACCACAAUAGACAAUGCGAUAAAUCAUAAAAGUGGAAACACUAAAGACGACAAAAAAAUAGAUAAACUGGGUAAGAAGGAUAAGAAGGAAAAAACAGAUGAUAAAAAAAAGGACAAGAAAGACGAUAAAAAAAGGGACAAGAAGGACGAUAAAAAAAGAAGCAAAAAGAAAAAAAAAGGAAUUUCAAUUAGCGAUAUAAACGAUAACACAGAAGAGGAAACUAAAGAAGACACACAAAAUGACACAACAGAAGAAAAAACAGAAAACGAAAUAAACGAAAACAAAAGUGGAGAAAACACAUGCGCUACUAGCUUGUCUACAACAUGUCCAAACGAUUUCAUACCAGAAAAUAAAAAUGAUUUAAAAAAUCGUAACAAAAAUAGCUACUUUUUUGAUAGAAAAAAUAUUAACGACAAAUAUGAUAUAAUAAGCACCGAGAUAUUAAAUUGUUUAUAUAAAAAUCAACCGAAUGUAAAAUUUACGUGCAAACACAAAAUACUAGCAGAAAUGAUAAUUGGAGCUAUUAUAUAUGGAAAUAAAAUUAAAUUAAAUAUAUUUAAAUUGAACUUGUUUUUAUCUAUUAUUAUUAUGACCAUGCAUAAAAUUAUGAAUAAUUUAAGUAAAAAAAAAAAAAAAAAAAAAAAAUUAACUAUUAAAUAUUUUGUCAGUUUAUUAAAUAAAAACACUCAAUAUAAUAAUCAAACAAAUGAAAACGACGGUCUAAUUAAUUGUGAUACACACGAAAUAGAUAUGUUACCAGAAAAUAAGGAAAAAAAUAAACACAUAACUGAACAAAAUAAAAAAAACAAAGAUAAUGAUAAAAAGGAGGGCGAGAGUGAGAGUGAUAAAAAUGAAGACGAGGGUGAAAGUGAUAGAGACGAGAUUGAUAGUGACAGAAACGAGAGUGAUAAAAAAAAGAAUGACAAAAAAAAAAGCGAUAAAAAAAAGAGCAGUAAAAAAAAAAGUGAUAAAAAUAAAAAUGAUGAAAAAACGAUAGGUGAAAAAAUUGUGGAUGAAAAAACUGUGGAUAACAAUGUAACAAAAAGCAGUACUAUUAAAAAAAAAAAAGAAAAGGAAAGAAAUCGUAAUAAAACAUAUGACAAUGACUUAAAAGAGCAAACCAGUAUAUUAAAAAAUACUGAAAAAAAUUUAAUAAAUAAAACAACAGAAAAUAAAGAUAAUGAACAGUCAGGUACUAAUUUAAAUUUAUCAAAUUAUAUCAAUCAUACUAACAAAAUACAGAACAAAAAAAAAACAAUUCUUUUUGGAUAUUAUGAAGCUAAAUAUAUAAUUAAAUUUAUGUUUGAAAAUAUAUUCUCGAUUUAUAAUAUGUUGGAAUAUUUGUUUUUAUUCCCAGCCAAUUAUUUUAGUUUAUCAUUUACUAAUGACUGUCCGCAUAUAUCUCCAACUGAAUCAUUUUUUGUAACGGACGAACUAAAACAAAAUACAGAACAACUAGACAAUAACGAAUUCGCUACCAAUUCGUACAUACAGGAAGCACUUGAUGUCCCAUUAUUUGUGUUAGAUAUGUUUUACAACAACAUUGAAGACUUAAAAAAAAAAAUCGAAGAAGUUGUAACUUGAAUGAUGUUUUUUUUUUUUUUUUUUUUUACUUUUUUGUGUAGUGAAUAAAAAAAAAAAAAUAAAAAAAAAAAAAAAUAAA
ensembl:lncRNA